CAGUCGCCGCGGGAAUACGAAGGGGGCUAGCGUUGUUCGGAAUUACUGGGCGUAAAGCGCACGUAGGCGGAUAUUUAAGUCAGGGGUGAAAUCCCAGAGCUCAACUCUGGAACUGCCUUUGAUACUGGGUAUCUUGAGUAUGGAAGAGGUUAGUGGAAUUGCGAGUGUAGAGGUGAAAUUCGUAGAUAUUCGCAGGAACACCAGUGGCGAAGGCGGCUAACUGGUCCAUAACUGACGCUGAGGUGCGAAAGCGUGGGGAGCAAACAGGAUUAGAUACCCGCGUAGUCCCUGUCUCUUAUAC
rnacentral:rRNA from 1 species